GAAAAAGUUGGUCCGCUCGAGUACGCUCUCUACUUUUUCUUUUUCUUUUUUUUUUUUUUCCCU
rnacentral:ribozyme from 1 species